rnacentral:rRNA from 1 species
GACGUAGGGUCCGAGCGUUGUCCGGAGUUACUGGGCGUAAAGCGCGCGCAGGCGGUCGAUCAAGUCGAGUGUGAAAGCCCCCGGCUCAACUGGGGAGGGUCAUUCGAUACUGAUCGACUCGAAGGCAGGAGAGGGUAGUGGAAUUCCCGGUGUAGUGGUGAAAUGCGUAGAUAUCGGGAGGAACACCAGUGGCGAAGGCGACUACCUGGCCUGUUCUUGACGCUGAGGCGCGAAAGCUAGGGGAGCAAACGGG